rnacentral:rRNA from 1 species
GAUGAACGCUGGCGGCGUGCCUAAUACAUGCAAGUCGAGCGAACGGACGAGAAGCUUGCUUCUCUGAUGUUAGCGGCGGACGGGUGAGUAACACGUGGAUAACCUACCUAUAAGACUGGGAUAACUUCGGGAAACCGGAGCUAAUACCGGAUAAUAUUUUGAACCGCAUGGUUCAAAAGUGAAAGACGGUCUUGCUGUCACUUAUAGAUGGAUCCGCGCUGCAUUAGCUAGUUGGUAAGGUAACGGCUUACCAAGGCAACGAUGCAUAGCCGACCUGAGAGGGUGAUCGGCCACACUGGAACUGAGACACGGUCCAGACUCCUACGGGAGGCAGCAGUAGGGAAUCUUCCGCAAUGGGCGAAAGCCUGACGGAGCAACGCCGCGUGAGUGAUGAAGGUCUUCGGAUCGUAAAACUCUGUUAUUAGGGAAGAACAUAUGUGUAAGUAACUGUGCACAUCUUGACGGUACCUAAUCAGAAAGCCACGGCUAACUACGUGCCAGCAGCCGCGAUAAUACGUAGGUGGCAAGCGUUAUCCGGAAUUAUUGGGCGUAAAGCGCGCGUANGCGGUUUUUUAAGUCUGAUGUGAAAGCCCACGGCUCAACCGUGGAGGGUCAUUGGAAACUGGAAAACUUGAGUGCAGAAGAGGAAAGUGGAAUUCCAUGUGUAGCGGUGAAAUGCGCAGAGAUAUGGAGGAACACCAGUGGCGAAGGCGGCUUUCUGGUCUGUAACUGACGCUGAUGUGCGAAAGCGUGGGGAUCAAACAGGAUUAGAUACCCUGGUAGUCCACGCCGUAAACGAUGAGUGCUAAGUGUUAGGGGGUUUCCGCCCCUUAGUGCUGCAGCUAACGCAUUAAGCACUCCGCCUGGGGAGUACGACCGCAAGGUUGAAACUCAAAGGAAUUGGCGGGGACCCGCACAAGCGGUGGAGCAUGUGGUUUAAUUCGAAGCAACGCGAAGAACCUUACCAAAUCUUGACAUCCUUUGACAACUCUAGAGAUAGAGCUUUCCCCUUCGGGGGACAAAGUGACAGGUGGUGCAUGGUUGUCGUCAGCUCGUGUCGUGAGAUGUUGGGUUAAGUCCCGCAACGAGCGCAACCCUUAAGCUUAGUUGCCAUCAUUAAGUUGGGCACUCUAAGUUGACUGCCGGUGACAAACCGGAGGAAGGUGGGGAUGACGUCAAAUCAUCAUGCCCCUUAUGAUUUGGGCUACACACGUGCUACAAUGGACAAUACAAAGGGCAGCGAAACCGUGAGGUCAAGCAAAUCCCAUAAAGUUGUUCUCAGUUCGGAUUGUAGUCUGCAACUCGACUACAUGAAGCUGGAAUCGCUAGUAAUCGUAGAUCAGCAUGCUACGGUGAAUACGUUCCCGGGUCU